GCUAUUGGCCAGCUGCUCGUGCGUCACGACGCCGCCAGCUGAUCGGAGACUGGAGCCGGUGUGUGCUGGGCGAUGGGAAGAGACAGAGCGGUCGGCGGUGCGGAGAGGACGCAGUGAUUUUGCUCCCCCUGUCCUCAGCAACCCCCACACCCAGCAUCAGGAACCUGUGCCUCCCACACCCUCACCUGGCUGAGCCGCAGUAGUUCUUCAGUGGCAAGCUUUAUGUCCUGACCCAGCUAAAGCUGCCAGUUGAAGAACUGUUGCCCUCUGCCCCUGGCUUCGAGGAGGAAGAGGAAGAGCAGCUUCUUUGCCUACCAUCUGGAAGGUGACAGAACUGGGGUUGGGAAGGGCUGGACAGCUGGGGUGAUGGCUUUAAGGAAAGGUGCCCCGGGGAGCCCUUACCCGCACUGGCCCAACCAGAGAUUCAGGUUAAAGGCCCUGACUGAAUUGGGGAAUAGGUGGCCCCACCUCCCCAAGGUUAGCUGAUCUCUGUGUGGCAAUGGGAAGGAACGGAAGGAAAGUCUGCCUACCUGUUCACCAAGACUUCCUUGUAGGCCUGCCAUAUCUCUCUCACCCCCUGCCCCAACUUUCCUUUCACAUGAGGUCCCAAAGUAAAUAUACUCCCGGGGAGGUGACAUCGAAAUUCUGAUCUAAGUGGUCACCCGUGUGUUUACCUUUCUCUGUAUCUUUUAGAUUGGUCCAGAUUUUGGAUUUAGGGGUACUUACCUCUGUGGGGACCCUUACACAUGUCUACUUCUCCAUCUGUGAAAUGGGGAGUCCCAUAGAUGAGUAGGCAGGAGGGCAUCAGAAGUCCACCUGUGCUGACUCAGAGCCUGGGCUCUUCUCUUUCCGUGGGUGGAAACCAAACAGCUCUUCCUAUAAACUGCUGUCCCUCCCUCACCCCCUGACUACACACCCAGCUCUGGGGGAUUGGGGUGGAGGGAAAGGUUAGGGUUAAGACCAAUGCUAGUGGGAGGCUAGUCCCAUGCUGACUUCUCAUCAUACAGGGGUGACCCAAGGUCUCCCCUCCACCCCAAGUAAGACUGCAGCUCCUGGUUGGGCCCCAACAGCCACUGCCAUUUAUUUUCUGCCUUUGCUUUCCAGGAUAGUGAGACUCAGCUCAGUGCUGGGCAGGCAAGAAAUUGUCUCCUCCAGCCAUCGGGGAGACGGGUUGUAAUGAUAGGAGCCCCCCUCUAGCUCCUGAGACAUUCUUGGGCUUGGGCUCUGACUGUGGUUCACCUUUGGCCCAGUCUCCCUACCAGAAGAUGGGGUUCAGGGGCUACAGGAAGCUGUUUGUUCUGCUGGGCAGGAGAAGGAGGAGUCGUCCUAGCCUAUUCUCAUUUAUGAGAAACUGAGUCAUAGGGGAGAAUAGACCGCAGAAGCCAGCCCCACUGCAGCCUGAGAUGAGGGUAGGAUGUGUAAGGGACUGCAGCCGAGGCGGGUGGGGAGGCCGAGUCUACUCGGACGCUGCAACAAAGGUUGCCCUGUCCCUCGACCCUGCCUUCUCCCCCUCCUCACGCCACUGGCCACAGUGUGUCCCUCCAGCACUGGGCUCAUGGCUCUGCCAUCUUCACCCAACAUGGAGCCUCAGAGGUGAGGAAGGGCAGCCUGGAAACACAGAGGCAGGCAGAAGACCAGUGAAGGACCUGGCCAGGAGCCACAAGGGCCUGUCCCAGACAUUGUUCAGAGGGGCACACGGAAGCCUGGAGAACACCAGGAAAGAGAACAGCCAGCCUCCGUGAAAGACAAGCUUCCAGCCAUCUCCUCUCCAGACCUACCUCCCUUGGAGAUGAAGACCCAUAAUGAAGUAUGGUCCUGUCUCUUCUCUACCCCGCAGUUUCUAUAUAACGACCCUGGAGGAGCAUGAGCCACCUCUGAAAGGAAAUACAGAGCAAAUUCAAAGAGAGACUCAAAUGUGUAACACUAUGGAAAAACAUAGUUUUGGCUGGGGCUGUAGCUGAGUUGGGAGAAUGCUUGUUCAGCAUGCACAGAGUCCUGGUUCUAUCUUUGCAUUGCCUAGACCUGGGUGUGGUGGCACAGGCCUAUAAUCCCAGCACCCUGGAGGUGGUGGUGAGGAGCCUACAUCCAAAGUCAUCCUCUGCUACACAGUGAGUUCUGAGCCAGCCUGGACUACAUAAGACACUUGUCUCAAAAAAAAAAAAAAAAAAGCAAUUAAAAGAAGGCUGACAUUGCUGAAAGCAUUUCCCCUCAUCAUGGUACAAGUCAAUGGAGGCAGAAGGAACACUCCCAUACGUUGUGGGUAGUGGCGCCAAACAUUGUAAGAGAUGUCUUUUGGCCUUGUAAUUUUGUGUUCUAGAAAUGUAUCUUAAAAUCAGAGUUUGGUUAUAAAAUGCUCAUCUCAGGGAUGAUGUUUGGAAAUCCAUUCCUUUUCUGCUGUUUGGAAAUCCAUUCCUUUUCUGCUGUCGUGAAUUCUCAGUGGGGGGUUGCUUGAGUGGAUUAUAUCCAUCCCAGUGGUGGAGUGCUGCACAGCCAUCCAGAGUCCUGCAGAAGAAAAAUUGACUGGAAAGAAAAAUGCUCUUUGAAUAUUAAAAAGAUUAUAAAAAGUGUGAGUUUUGUGACCUUAAUUUUGUCUUUAAACAAUUUGUUUUAAAAUAAGAGUGCAUACUUGUAAUACAUAGACUAAAAAAAAAAGACUCAAAGUAGACUCAAAUGUUAGGAGUGGUUAUUUUUGAAUGGUGGGAUAGAGCAAUUGUGAAUUUCCCCCUUGUUUUCCAGUCAUUCUAAGUUUUCUAUACUAAUUGUAUAUUGCUUUUGCAUGUUAAAUAAAUGAUAGCAAAAGAUAAA